rnacentral:rRNA from 1 species
CUUACACAUGCAGUCGAACGAUGAUCUCCAGCUUGCUGGGGGGAUUAGUGGCGAACGGGUGAGUAACACGUGAGUAACCUGCCCUUAACUCUGGGAUAAGCCUGGGAAACUGGGUCUAAUACCGGAUAUGACUCCUCAUCGCAUGGUGGGGGGUGGAAAGCUUUUUGUGGUUUUGGAUGGACUCGCGGCCUAUCAGCUUGUUGGUGAGGUAAUGGCUCACCAAGGCGACGACGGGUAGCCGGCCUGAGAGGGUGACCGGCCACACUGGGACUGAGACACGGCCCAGACUCCUACGGGAGGCAGCAGUGGGGAAUAUUGCACAAUGGGCGAAAGCCUGAUGCAGCGACGCCGCGUGAGGGAUGACGGCCUUCGGGUUGUAAACCUCUUUCAGUAGGGAAGAAGCGAAAGUGACGGUACCUGCAGAAGAAGCGCCGGCUAACUACGUGCCAGCAGCCGCGGUAAUACGUAGGGCGCAAGCGUUAUCCGGAAUUAUUGGGCGUAAAGAGCUCGUAGGCGGUUUGUCGCGUCUGCCGUGAAAGUCCGGGGCUCAACUCCGGAUCUGCGGUGGGUACGGGCAGACUAGAGUGAUGUAGGGGAGACUGGAAUUCCUGGUGUAGCGGUGAAAUGCGCAGAUAUCAGGAGGAACACCGAUGGCGAAGGCAGGUCUCUGGGCAUUAACUGACGCUGAGGAGCGAAAGCAUGGGGAGCGACAGAUA